rnacentral:rRNA from 1 species
AGGAGACAUUACGGGAGGCAGCAGUGGGGAAUAUUGGACAAUGGGCGCAAGCCUGAUCCAGCCAUGCCGCGUGAGUGGUGAAGGCCCUAGGGUUGUAAAGCUCUUUCGGCGGGGACGAUAAUGACGGUACCCGCAGAAGAAGCCCCGGCUAACUACGUGCCAGCAGCCGCGGUAAUACGUAGGGCGCGAGCGUUGUCCGGAAUUAUUGGGCGUAAAGAGCUCGUAGGCGGCUUGUCGCGUCGGUUGUGAAAGCCCGGGGCUUAACCCCGGGUCUGCAGUCGAUACGGGCAGGCUAGAGUUCGGUAGGGGAGAUCGGAAUUCCUGGUGUAGCGGUGAAAUGCGCAGAUAUCAGGAGGAACACCGGUGGCGAAGGCGGAUCUCUGGGCCGAUACUGACGCUGAGGAGCGAAAGCGUGGGGAGCGAACAGGAUUAGAUACCCUGGUAGUCCACGCCGUAAACGGUGGGCACUAGGUGUGGGCAACAUUCCACGUUGUCCGUGCCGCAGCUAACGCAUUAAGUGCCCCGCCUGGGGAGUACGGCCGCAAGGCUAAAACUCAAAGGAAUUG